rnacentral:rRNA from 1 species
AAAAAAGUAAGGAAGCGUGUGAGCUAACUGCCAAGAAAAGCCGCUAUUGUUCAUAAAAUACCCGUACCGUAAACCGACACAGGUGGAUGAGGAGAGAAUCCUAAGGCCGACGGGAGAAGCAUUGUUAAGGAACUCGGCAAAAUGACUCCGUAACUUCGGGAGAAGGAGUGCCUGGUGACAGGCCGCAGAGAAAUGGCCCAAGCAACUGUUUAGCAAAAACACAGGUCUAUGCAAAACCGAAAGGUGAGGUAUAUGGGCUGACGCCUGCCCGGUGCUGGAAGGUUAAGGGGAGAGGUUAGCGCAAGCGAAGCUUUGAACUUAAGCCCCAGUAAACGGCGGCCGUAACUAUAACGGUCCUAAGGUAGCGAAAUUCCUUGUCGGGUAAGUUCCGACCCGCACGAAAGGCGUAAUGAUUUGGGCACUGUCUCAACAAUGCACCCGGUGAAAUUGAAAUACCAGUGAAGAUGCUGGUUACCUGCGCCAGGACGGAAAGACCCCAUGGAGCUUUACUCCAGCUUGAUACUGGGAUUCGAUAUUGCAUGUACAGGAUAGGUGGGAGACUAAGAACCAAUGACGCCAGUUGUUGGGGAGUCGCUGCUGGGAUACCACCCUUGCAGUAUUGGGUUUCUAACCAGCGGCCUUUAUCAGGUCGGGGGACAAUGUCAGGUGGGGAGUUUGACUGGGGCGGUCGCCUCCGAAAGGGUAUCGGAGGCGCUCAAAGGUUCCCUCAGAAUGGUUGGAAACCAUUCGAAGAGUGCAAAGGCAGAAGGGAGCUUGACUGCGACACCGACGGGUGGAGCAGGUACGAAAGUAGGACUUAGUGAUCCGGUGGUAUAAAGUGGGAUUGCCAUCGCUCAACGGAUAAAAGCUACCCUGGGAUAACAGGCUUAUCACUCCCAAGAGUUCACAUCGACGGAGUGGUUUGGCACCUCGAUGUCGGCUCAUCGCAUCCUGGGGCUGAAGUAGGUCCCAAGGGUUGGGCUGUUCGCCCAUUAAAGCGGUACGCGAGCUGGGUUCAGAACGUCGUGAGACAGUUCGGUCCCUAUCCGGCGUGGGCGUAAGAUAUUUGAGGGGAGCUGUCCUUAGUACGAGAGGACCGGGAUGGACUGGCCGCUGGUGUAUCUGUUGUUCUACCAAGAGCAUAGCAGAGUAGCCAAGCCGGGAAGGGAUAAACGCUGAAGGCAUCUAAGCGUGAAGCCCCCCUCAAGAUGAGAUAUCUCAUAACGUCAAGUUAGUAAGACCCCUUGAAGACGACGAGGUAGAUAGGGCAGAGGUGGAAGUGCAGUAAUGUAUGGAGCUAACUGUUACUAAUAGGUCGAGGGCAUAAGC